rnacentral:rRNA from 1 species
UACGGAGGGUGCAAGCGUUAUCCGGAUUUACUGGGUUUAAAGGGUGUGUAGGCGGGUCUUUAAGUCAGCGGUGAAAUCUCCGAGCUUAACUUGGAAACUGCCAUUGAUACUAUUGAUCUUGAAUUCUGUUGAGGUGGGCGGAAUAUGUCAUGUAGCGGUGAAAUGCAUAGAUAUGACAUAGAACACCAAUUGCGAAGGCAGCUCACUAAGCAGAUAUUGACGCUGAGGCACGAAAGCGUGGGGAUCAAACAGG